rnacentral:tRNA from 1 species
GGGGCUAUAGCUCAGUUAGCAGAGCGCUUGCAUCGCAUACAAGAGGCCGGGGGUGCAACUCCCCCUAGCUCCA